rnacentral:tRNA from 1 species
GUCCCGAUGCCGUGGCCGUUGCGGAUGCCGCUCCUGGCGACAUCGAAGCGGCCUUCGCGGCCGCCGAUGUGCAGAUCCUCAACCAGGACG